rnacentral:misc_RNA from 1 species
GAUGAAGAACGUAGUGAAAUGCGAUAAGUAAUGCGAAUUGCAGAAUCCGUGAGUCAUCGAAUCUUUGAACGCACAUUGCGCCCUCUGGUAUUCCGGAGGGCAUGCCUGUUCGAGCGUCAUUGUCACCCCUCAAGCCCGGCUUGUUGUUGGAUGCAGCGCUUAUCCCGCUCCUCCCAAAGAUAAUGACGGCGUCUGCGACGACUCCUGUACACUGAGCUUUCGGGCACGUACACGGCUAGAAGUCCAGACCCGGUCGCCGUCCCCCCCGCGGGGACACCCAUUACCACAAGGUUGACCUCGGAUCAGGUAGGAAUACCCGCUGAACUUAAGCAUAUCAAUAAGCGGAGGA